GUCACAACCGCCUCAGCCUCCGUCUCGCACGUCUGUCUGUUAACCAUGACCUCUGCAGCGCUCGCCUCCUGGCUGUGCAAACCCCAUGUAGAGAGACCCAUGCGUGGCCCGGGUGGACACAGCUGGCUGAGGGUGUGACUAACACGGGUCAGUAUUUUAGAACUGAAGCUGCUAUUUAACAAUUAUUAUCUCCGUUGCUUUCUCUCUGUCUUGUAACAAGGUGACAUCCGGAUAAAAUGUUUCUAACUCUGAUUCACACAAAUUGUGGCUUGAAGAUUCCCUUCAUCAAAGAUAAUUUACCAAGAUUUGAUCACAGUAGUUUUUUUUUGUUUUUUUUUCCCGAGGUUGAUGCCAACAUAGAAUCGUGCUCUUACCAGUUGGUAUGGGGUGCAGAAGACCUCGGAGCCUGUGAGGCCGCAGGUGGAGGAGGCCUGGAGCUGCUGAACCCUGCCCACAAGCAGGUCAUUGCUGGGAUAAAAAGGAAAAUCUACAGAAUUCAUGGUCCCUGAAGAUGAAUCCUAAUAACUUUGGUGAUCACUGAAGCUCCCUGAUGUUAGCAUUCAGCUCAAAGCACUAGCAUGGCUGCAAACUCUUAAACUGAAACACACACUGAGUAAGUCCGGGGUGUGUCCUCUGACUCAGCUAACACACACAUUGGCCACUGUGAACAGACUUCGGACAAGUACUGUCACGCCUUCGAUUGCUCUGGAUGGUACUGUAGCUGUGAGUUAUUUCUGCCUGUGGUCUCCUGUCUUUCAACACCAGCCUUUGUUCGGAGUGACAUGGAGCCAAAGCUGCUUUAUUGGAUUCGCUGGUAUCAUAAGGUGGCAAACAUCACUACAGAAGCAAAAAAUUAAAAAAUAAAAUCCACUGAAAAGAGUGAGGAAAUAAAGCUUUACUUUACACACGUAGGACACUUUGAGUAACAGGCAUAUGACAGCCUGAGUUUUCCAAACAGCAUUUAAAGGCCUGAGGAAAAAGAUUCUCUGGUAUGAGGUAAAACCUGAACCCUUUGGACAGAACUCAAAAAUCUUCCCUAUGGUGAAGCAUGAUGGUGGCAGUGGGGGGUGACAGGCAGUCACAAACGCCAGAGAAAUAGGUGGUGGUGUCAGUAUGCUGGAAAAUACAGAUGUGAUGUAAUAAAGCAGUGCUUUGACAUAGCGUCCUGCCUCAUCAAUACCAAGAGUAAAUGAUGAAAAAAAUGAGUUUAAACACGAGUAGCCUUCACUUCCCAGAAGUCUUCCAGCAGAGUUUGAAGGACUGCUUGCUUGCCAUAGCAGAAGAAGAU